GUCAAACAGACACCAAGAGGAAGGAAAACGCAAAGCCCGAGCGACAAAGAACGAAAAACAGCGAGAUCACCAUCACCGCUGUUCGCCCGGGCGGUGCCCCGACACCCGGGCGACAGACGCUCGACGCUUGGGAUCCAAUUCUAACGCCCAGGCCUUACAGAAGCCUCAAAUCUCGUCCAGGUGAGCUCCCUGCGAUGCCUAGGCGAUACAUCACCUGGAUCGGGCCCUGUUUCUGC
rnacentral:lncRNA from 1 species